UACGAGGGGGGGCUAGUGUUGUUCGGAAUCACUGGGCGUAAAGGGAGCGUAGGCGGGAGCCUAAGUUGGGUGUUUAAUUCCGGGGCCCAACCCCGGGCGUGCACUCAAAACUGGGUUUCUUGAAUAGGGGAGAGGUCGGUGGAAUUGGAGGUGUAGCGGUGGAAUGCGUAGAGAUCUCCAAGAACACCCGUUGCGAAGGCGGCCGACUGGACCCAUAUUGACGCUGAGGCUCGAAAGCAUGGGGAGCAAACAGG
rnacentral:rRNA from 1 species